GAUGAACGCUGGCGGCGUGCCUAAUACAUGCAAGUCGAGCGAACAGACGAGGAGCUUGCUCCUCUGACGUUAGCGGCGGACGGGUGAGUAACACGUGGAUAACCUACCUAUAAGACUGGGAUAACUUCGGGAAACAGGAGCUAAUACCAGAUAAUAUAUUGAACCGCAUGGUUCAAUAGUGAAAGACGGUUUUGCUGUCACUAAUAGAUGGAUCCGCGCCGGAUUAGCUAGUUGGUAAGGUAACGGCUUACCAAGGCGACGAUGCGUAGCCGACCUGAGAGGGUGAUCGGCCACACUGGAACUGAGACACGGUCCAGACUCCUACGGGAGGCAGCAGUAGGGAAUCUUCCGCAAUGGGCGAAAGCCUGACGGAGCAACGCCGCGUGAGUGAUGAAGGUCUUCGGAUCGUAAAACUCUGUUAUUAGGGAAGAACAAAUGUGUAAGUAACUAUGCACGUCUUGACGGUACCUAAUCAGAAAGCCACGGCUAACUACGUG
rnacentral:rRNA from 1 species